rnacentral:rRNA from 1 species
UGCCAGACUCCUACGGGAGGCAGCAGUGGGGAAUAUUGCACAAUGGGGGGAACCCUGGUGCAGCAACGCCGCGUGGGUGAAGAAGUAUUUCGGUAUGUAAAGCCCUAUCAGCAGGGAAGAAGAUGACGGUACCUGACUAAGAAGCCCCGGCUAACUACGUGCCAGCAGCCGCGGUAAUACGUAGGGGGCGAGCGUUAUCCGGAUUCAUUGGGCGUAAAGCGCGCGUAGGCGGUCAUGUAAGCGGGACCUCUAAUCUUGGGGCUCAACCUCAAGCCGGGUUCCGAACUACAUGACUCGAGUGUGGUAGGGGAGAUCGGAAUUCCCGGUGUAGCGGUGGAAUGCGCAGAUAUCGGGAAGAACACCGAUGGCGAAGGCAGAUCUCUGGGCCAUAACUGACGCUGAGGCGCGAAAGCUAGGGGAGCAAACAGGAUUAGAUACCCUAGUA